GCCUUCGAGUGUAGUGGUCAGCACGCUCGGCGCGUAUUCGAGAGGUCGGUGGUUCGAAUCCCGGCGAGGGCA
rnacentral:tRNA from 1 species